ensembl:lncRNA
CUCAUAGCUAAAGGGGUUAAUUGUUUGACCUCCGUAUUCAUCUAGGCCUUGGUGACUUACUUACAUGAUCUAGGUCUGUUUUCCCCUUUGUAAAUAGUAUCUCUCCUCAGGGUUAGGUUAAGUAGCUUUCCUCUGGGGGAACAGUGUGGAUGACCUGAAAAAGACUCACCCUGCCACAAGAACAUACACACGUGCGUGCGAGUGUAAGGACACACACAAACACACACAUACUUGGUCACUGACCGGACCUCAAACCCAGGGCUUUCUUCCCAGCUGGACACCUCCAGAACCCUGGUCACAGAUGCAGUCCGGGGAGCGAAGCCUCGUCCCACAUUCUGACCUGUGAAGCUAUAUGACUGCCAAGUAGACGUGAGGCAGAAAGGGAAACAGAGGCUGGGUGCAUGUGACUAGAACAAUAGCAACGACUGUGGUAGAUGAAGCGACAGUUUACUGAGUCUGCUGAGACCUUAGGGAUUGCCCGGGUGUCUGAGAUGCAAAAGUGAUCAUCUCUGGGGUUUUCAGGUUGCACGGACCGGCACCGUUACCGAAACGGCUGGGGGGCGACGGAGGUUGCCAGCUUUUUAUUUUGCCAAAAAAUGACCCCUAAUCAAAACCCCCAAACUAUCACAAAUCUAAUAUUCACUGAUAGGGGCAAGGACAACAUUUAGCUUCGCAUUGCUUUCGCUACUCUCGUUUUGCCCCUGGAUGGCAAAAACCUCUCCACAGGCCUGCUGCCCUCUGCAGGGGAGCCUGAGACCCCUGAGGUAGAGACUACACGGCAGCCACGGCAUGGACGGGCCGAGGGGGCAGGUUCAUGGACAUAGGCCGCCGACCGCUGCUCCUGGCAGCUGCAGCCAGGCCAUGAACCCAGCCUCGGCGUGGAGGGUUCGUACUUCUGCGAUUGUCACCGUUCUCCUGCUUCACUGCUUCCAGCAUUUAUAUCCCUGGCACAGCCCGGCACAACAUGGCGCAUCGCUGACGCACAAGGCAGCGUUUCCUGGUUUACCCCGAGUCAUUCCGAGAGAGCGAGGAACAAGGCGUGAGUGCUCAUCAAUCUGCCAUGCUCUUGCCACGUUCGCGUAUGUCCCGGUGGCCACCGCACGUCACAUAACCUCGCCCAGGGUCUGUGUGGGAGAGGGCUGCAGCAAGGGCAUAGAUACCAAGGGACUUCACUCCCAGAUUGGGUCACCGAUUCUUUCUCAGUGCCACCGAGAAGUGUUACUCUCUACGGUUUUCCCCUGAGGGGGGGCUGAGGUGCAGAAAGCCCAAGGUGGAUGGGCCGGAACUCCAGCCCCACCCCAUCUGCUGCCCGGACACUUUCCUCACUGCUGCUUUAUGUGCGGAGCAGGAAGCACACAGAAGCGAAAGCCUCAAGGUGUUGAGAGAGGGGCAAAAAGAAACCAGGAAGAGGUAGGAGAUUGCAGCGGUCCUCGAACUGUUCUCUGCCUCUGCAAUACAGUAAAUACUGUUCGUGAAGAGAUUGGCCAGGGAAACCCUGCUUGGAAACCUUGUAGGAGAGCCAGCUCUACAUCUCUUGGAAAAAUCGAGACCAGCUCAUUCUUGCUGGUGAGGAGAGGAGGGACUGGAGAGGCCUUGCUCCUAAUACGGCAGGUACACAGAACUAAUGUUGAGCCAAGGCUGUCCUCGGGCGAAAGGUAGCCAUUUUUUUUUUUUACCUUUCGCCUAUAGUCUUUACUACCUGCUAGAUCAGUAAGUAACAAUACUAAAAAUAGCUACCAUUUAGAUAGGACGGCAUACGUGGGGCGUAGGGGGGCAGCUGUGCAAAGCCCUUUACAUACAAUGCAUGAUCUCAUCUAAUCUCACAACAACCCAUUUGACAUAGAUUUUAUUAUUCUUAAUUUAUAGAUGAGGUAACUGCGCCCAGGGAGACUAGCUUUCCAGAGAUUUCCUAGCUUUUAAGUGGUAGAUCUAAAACCUAAGUCUAUCUGACUAAAAGCCCUGAAUAAUAUUUAGCUGUGGGCUUUGCAUGGCUUUGGUGCUGGUCUGAGGCGGAAAUUGUGCAGCCCAUUUAUUCAUGCAAAGCUGCGCACGUGUCUGUGUAAUUUACAAAAACAAAUCCAGGUCAAGAUAUCUGUCCGCUUCAGGUUUAAAAGCCUACUGUGGAGAGCUGCUCAAAUCUCUACUCAUUCACUCACUCUUUCGCUCCCUCAACAAGUAUUUAUUGCGCACUUCGGUAUUCCAGGCAGGGCGCCCUCGGAGAGAGAACGUUGAACACCAGAGA